rnacentral:rRNA from 1 species
GAGUAACCUGCCCUUGACUCUGGGAUAAGCGCUGGAAACGGCGUCUAAUACUGGAUACGACCUAUCACCGCAUGGUGUGUGGGUGGAAAGAUUUAUCGGUUUUGGAUGGACUCGCGGCCUAUCAGCUUGUUGGUGAGGUAAUGGCUCACCAAGGCGACGACGGGUAGCCGGCCUGAGAGGGUGACCGGCCACACUGGGACUGAGACACGGCCCAGACUCCUACGGGAGGCAGCAGUGGGGAAUAUUGCACAAUGGGCGCAAGCCUGAUGCAGCAACGCCGCGUGAGGGAUGACUGCCUUCGGGUUGUAAACCUCUUUUAGUAGGGAAGAAGCGAAAGUGACGGUACCUGCAGAAAAAGCACCGGCUAACUACGUGCCAGCAGCCGCGGUAAUACGUAGGGUGCAAGCGUUGUCCGGAAUUAUUGGGCGUAAAGAGCUCGUAGGCGGCUUGUCGCGUCUGCUGUGAAAUCCCGGGGCUCAACUCCGGGUCUGCAGUGGGUACGGGCAGGCUAGAGUGCGGUAGGGGAGAUUGGAACUCCUGGUGUAGCGGUGGAAUGCGC